CUUUCUACAGUAUUCCUAUAGAGUUCUGGUACAAGCUGCGCAUUAGAUACCCAAAUUCAGCAGCCAGAAAUACAGGCACCCCCAGCAGUCUUCAGGUAGUGCACGCUGUUCGUCAAAGCUGCCUGAUGCACAUCACACACUCGUAAAUAGGAUCCUGAACCUAAUGCCUAUAAGCCUCGAUCAUGUCCUGGGCGUUGGUGUUGGGUGCCCCCUUGUGGUGGGAGUGAGCACUCCGAGUCGUCUAUGUUACUCGGCAUCUGGGCCGAUUGUGCUCACGUCGAGAGGUUGGAAAACGCUAAAAAAAAAAACACUUUCUAUACAAAAGCACAAGAUGGGGAGUUUUAUUUGCACCUACCUUAAACUGCAUCAAGAUGAUUUGCCCUGC